CGCCCAACAGCUAGCCCGCCCAUCAACCCCAAACUUACCCUAUUUAUACCCCCAGACACACCACCACUAAACAACAAACCAUUUUUCCACCUAAGUACAGGCGAUGAAAAAGGACUCAGGAGCAACAGAGAAAGUACCGCAAGGGAAAGCUGAAAGAGUAAUGAAACAACCCAGUAAAGCAUUAAAAAGCAGAGAGCCCCCUCGUACCUUUUGCAUCAUGAUUUAGCCAGUAAAUCUUAAGCAAAAAGCAUUAUAGUUUAAUUCCCCGAAACUAGGCGAGCUACUCCAAGGCAGUCUAAUUUAUAGGACCACCCCGUCUCUGUGGCAAAAGAGUGGGACGAACUUUGAGUAGAGGUGACAGACCUACCGAGCCUAGUUAUAGCUGGUUGCCUGAAAACUGAAUAGAAGUUCAGCCCUUUAAAUUCUCCCUCCCCGUUGGUUCAAAACCUAACACCGGACAAAAGAAGUUAAAGGAGUUAGUCAAAGGGGGUACAGCCCCUUUGAAACAAGACACAACUUUCCAAGGAGGGUAAAGAUCACAACAAACUUAAAGGUUAAAUGUCUUAGUGGGCCUAAAAGCAGCCAUCCACCCAGAAAGCGUUAAAGCUCGAGCACACACAUCAACCUACCAAUACAGACAACACAAUCUCACCCCCCUUCAACCUAUCAGGCCGUUCCAUAAAAUAUGGAAGCGUUUAUGCUAAAAUGAGUAAUAAGAGAACUCCCUUCUCUCCCCGCACAAGUGUAAGUCGGAACGAACCCUUCACCGACCAUUAACGGCCCCAAAACAAAGAGGGCACUAGACAAAAAAUAAAAAACUAGAAAACCACCUAGCCCCCUACCGUUGACCUCACACUGGUGUGCCGAUCGGGAAAGACUAAAAGAAAAAGAAGGAACUCGGCAAACACAAGCCUCGCCUGUUUACCAAAAACAUCGCCUCUUGAAGCCCAAAAUAUAAGAGGUCCCGCCUGCCCUGUGACUAUAA
rnacentral:rRNA from 1 species